GCACGUAUGGCUCAACUGGUUGCACUGCUGUUUUUGAAUCAGUCAACGCGGGUUCGAACCCCACAGGGGUCA